rnacentral:rRNA from 1 species
AUGAUUAAAGAUAGCUUGCUAUUUUUAUGAAGAGCGGCGAACGGGUGAGUAACGCGUGGGAAAUCUGCCGAGUAGCGGGGGACAACGUUUGGAAACGAACGCUAAUACCGCAUAACAAUGAGAAUCGCAUGAUUCUUAUUUAAAAGAAGCAAUUGCUUCACUACUUGAUGAUCCCGCGUUGUAUUAGCUAGUUGGUAGUGUAAAGGACUACCAAGGCGAUGAUACAUAGCCGACCUGAGAGGGUGAUCGGCCACACUGGGACUGAGACACGGCCCAGACUCCUACGGGAGGCAGCAGUAGGGAAUCUUCGGCAAUGGGGGCAACCCUGACCGAGCAACGCCGCGUGAGUGAAGAAGGUUUUCGGAUCGUAAAACUCUGUUGUUA